GGGCGAUUAGCUCAGUUGGUCAGAGCGCCACGCUUACACCGUGGAAGUCGGCGGUUCGAGCCCGUCAUCGCCCA
rnacentral:tRNA from 1 species